CCUACGGGAGGCAGCAGUGAGGAAUAUUGGUCAAUGGCCGGAAGGCUGAACCAGCCAUGCCGCGUGAAGGUCAGUGCCCUAUGGGCGUUAAACUUCUUUUGUGCGGGAGCAAUAAUGGUCACGUGUGGCCAGACGAGAGUACCGUACGAAUAAGCAUCGGCUAACUCCGUGCCAGCAGCCGCGGUAAUACGGGGGAUGCAAGCGUUAUCCGGAUUUAUUGGGUUUAAAGGGUGCGUAGGCUGUGAGGUAAGUCAGCGGUGAAAUGCCCCCGCGCAACGGGGUGAAGUGCCAUUGAUACUGCCUUGCUGGAAUGCGGAUGCCGUGGGAGGAAUGUGUGGUGUAGCGGUGAAAUGCAUAGAUAUCACACAGAACACCGAUUGCGAAGGCAGCUCACGAAUCCGCGAUUGACGCUGAUGCACGAAAGCGUGGGUAUCAAACAGGAUUAGAUACCCCAGUAGUC
rnacentral:rRNA from 1 species